CCUACGGGUGGCAGCAGUGGGGAAUAUUGGACAAUGGGGGGAACCCUGAUCCAGCCAUGCCGCGUGUGUGAAGAAGGCCCUCGGGUUGUAAAGCACUUUCAGUGAGGAAGAACGCCUGGUGGUUAAUACCCAUCAGGAAAGACAUCACUCACAGAAGAAGCACCGGCUAACUCCGUGCCAGCAGCCGCGGUAAUACGGAGGGUGCGAGCGUUAAUCGGAAUUACUGGGCGUAAAGCGCGCGUAGGUGGCUUGAUAAGCCGGUUGUGAAAGCCCCGGGCUCAACCUGGGAACGGCAUCCGGAACUGUCAAGCUAGAGUGCAGGAGAGGAAGGUAGAAUUCCCGGUGUAGUGGUGAAAUGCGUAGAGAUCGGGAGGAAUACCAGUGGCGAAGGCGGCCUUCUGGACUGACACUGACACUGAGGUGCGAAAGCGUGGGUAGCAAACAGGAUUAGAUACCCUGGUAGUC
rnacentral:rRNA from 1 species